AUGAACAACAUGUGAAAGCAUGCGACUCUUCGGAGGCGUUACACAGGUGCUGCAUGGCCGUCGUCAGCUCGUGUCGUGAGAUGUUUGGUUAAGUCCAGCAACGAGCGCAACCCCUGUUGCCAGUUACCAGCACGUGAAGGUGGGGACUCUGGCGAGACUGCCCAGAUCAACUGGGAGGAAGGUGGGGACGACGUCAGGUCAGUAUGGCCCUUAUGCCCAGGGCUGCACACGUACUACAAUGCCCAGUACAGAGGGGGCCGAAGCCGCGAGGCGGAGGAAAUCCUAAAAACUGGGCCCAGUUCGGACUGUAGGCUGCAACCCGCCUACACGAAGCCGGAAUCGCUAGUAAUGGCGCAUCAGCUACGGCGCCGUGAAUACGUUCCCGGGUCUUGUACACACCGCCCGUCACAUCAUGGAAGCCGGUCGCACCCGAAGUAUCUGAAGCCAACCGCAAGGAGGCAGGGUCCUAAGGUGAGACUGGUAACUGGGAUGAAGUCGUAACAAGGUAGCCGUAGGGGAACCUGCGGCUGGAU
rnacentral:rRNA from 1 species